UGUUAUACAAAACGAAAAUUUUAAGGCGCCACCACGCUGAAAUAAGUUGGACAUCCCUUUAGACCGGAUAAUUGCAUUCGUAAAGAUGGCGUCAAAUAAAUAAAUAAGAAGCCGUAAAAAAUUAAAAUUUUACAGAUCGACUUUGCAUACAGGAGUGACCAAAUAAUUACAAUAAACUGUGUCUACUAUUUCUCAGCAGUACUGGCUUUUUACAACAAAAAAUUGGCAUAUAGUGAAGAAUAAAUAUUGGGGAUAUAAUUUGCAUACAAAAAAAGCCAAAAGACACCACCAGCACACCACGUGGUUAUAGCCGAAUUCACAAAAGCGUGCCAAUCGUUCUUUCUUCUGGCUGCUUGGCGUCAACUGGAGAUUCCAAGUGUAGCCAGGCUUUUCUCCACCUCUUUCCAACGGAGUGAAAGCCUUCCUCUGCUUCACCCGGCGGUUGCUGCGUCGCAUACUUUCAGGUGUGGAGCGUUUUCAUCCGUUCGGACGACAUGACCCAGCCAGCGUAGCUGCUGUCUCUUAAUUCGCUGAACUAUGUUACAUACAUAUAUACCCAUACAUACUAUGGGUAGCCAAAAAACAUCCGUUUGAAGGCGAGCUAAAGUGAGAAGGCGAAACAUUUCGCCACGUAAUAAACCCCACCAAUGAACUGAAGAAAACAGCCUCGGAUAAGAUACCCUCGUUUUGAUGACGACUCCUGCAAACGUGUUAUUUAAUUUCUGAACAAUAAAAACAUGAAUAAAAGUUUUAAAAAUUAAAAA